UCGGGCCUCUCGCGUCAAGAUUAGCCCAGGUGGGAUUAGCUAGUUGGUGAGGUAAAGGCUCACCAAGGCGACGAUCCGUAGCUGGUCUGAGAGGAUGAUCAGCCACAUUGGAACUGAGACACGGUCCAGACUCCUACGGGAGGCAGCAGUGGGGAAUAUUGCACAAUGGGCGCAAGCCUGAUGCAGCCAUGCCGCGUGUGUGAAGAAGGCCUUCGGGUUGUAAAGCACUUUCAGCAGUGAGGAAGGCGGGUACGUUAAUAGCGUUUUCGUUUGACGUUAGUUGCAGAAGAAGCACCGGCUAACUCCGUGCCAGCAGCCGCGGUAAUACGGAGGGUGCGAGCGUUAAUCGGAAUUACUGGGCGUAAAGCGCAUGCAGGUGGUUUGGUAAGUCAGAUGUGAAAGCCCCGGGCUCAACCUCGGAACAGCAUUUGAAACUGUCAGACUAGAGUACUGUAGAGGGGGGUAGAAUUUCAGGUGUAGCGGUGAAAUGCGUAGAGAUAUGAAGGAACACCGGUGGUGAAGGCGGCCCC
rnacentral:rRNA from 1 species